UGUGGAUGAGGAGAGAAUCCUAAGGCCGACGGAAGAAGCAUUGUUAAGGAAUUCGGCAAAAUGACCCCGUAACUUCGGGAGAAGGGGUGCCUGCGCAAGCGGGUCGCAGAGAAUUGGCCCAAGCAACUGUUUAGCAAAAACACAGGUUUAUGCGAAACCGAAAGGUGAAGUAUAUGAGCUGACGCCUGCCCGGUGCUGGAAGGUUAAGGGGAGUGCUUAGACUUUAGUCGAAGGUGCGAACUUAAGCCCCAGUAAACGGCGGCCGUAACCAUAACGGUCCUAAGGUAGCGAAAUUCCUUGUCGGGUAAGUUCCGACCCGCACGAAAGGCGUAAUGAUUUGGGCGCUGUCUCGACAAUGCAUCCGGUGAAAUUGAAGUACCAGUGAAGAUGCUGGUUACCCGCGCCAGGACGGAAAGACCCCAUGGAGCUUUACUCUAGUUUGAUGCUGGGAUUCGAUACUGCAUGUACAGGAUAGGCGGGAGACUGAGAAGUAGUGACGUCAGUUGCUACAGAGUCGCUGUUGGGAUACCGCCCCUGCAGUAUUGGGUUUCUAACCUGCGGCCGUAAGCCGGUCGGGGGACAACGUCAGGCGGGGAGUUUGACUGGGGCGGUCGCCUCCGAAAGGGUAUCGGAGGCGCUCAAAGGUUCCCUCAGAAUGGUCGGAAACCAUUCGAAGAGUGCAAAGGCAGAAGGGAGCUUGACUGCGAGACCGACGGGUCGAGCAGGUACGAAAGUAGGACUUAGUGAUCCGGUGGUAUGAAAGUGGGAUUGCCAUCGCUCAACGGAUAAAAACUACCCUGGGAUAACAGGCUUAUCACUCCCAAGAGUUCACAUCGACGGAGUGGUUUGGCACCUCGAUGUCGGCUCAUCGCAUCCUGGGGCUGUAGCAGGUCCCAAGGGUUGGGCUGUUCGCCCAUUAAAGCGGUACGCGAGCUGGGUUCAGAACGUCGUGAGACAGUUCGGUCCCUAUCCGGCGCGGGCGUAGGAUAUCUGAAAGGAGCUGGCCUUAGUACGAGAGGACCGGGCUGGACGAACCGCUGGUUCGCCUGUUGUCAUACCAAUGGCAUAGCAGGGUAGCCAAGUUUGGAAGGGAUAAACGCUGAAGGCAUCUAAGCGUGAAGCCCCCCUUAAGAUAAGAUAUCCCUGGAGUAAUCCAGUAAGACCCCUUGAAGACGACGAGGUAGAUAGGGCAGAGGUGGAAGUGUGGUAACACAUGCAGCUGACUGUCACUAAUAGGUCGAGGGCUUGACC
rnacentral:rRNA from 1 species